rnacentral:rRNA from 3 species
GAUCAUUACCGAGUAAGGGGUCCUCUGGGCCCCAACUCCCCACCCUUUGUGUACGUACUCCGUUGCUUCGGCGGGCCCGCGGCGUGAAAACCCGCCGUCGGCCCAGGCUGACGAGCGCCCGCCAGAGGACCUUCAAAACCUAUUUAUCAGUGUCGUCUGAGUUCAGCUUCGAAUGUAGUAAAACUUUCAACAACGGAUCUCUUGGUUCUGGCAUCGAUGAAGAACGCAGCGAAAUGCGAUAAGUAAUGUGAAUUGCAGAAUUCAGUGAAUCAUCGAAUCUUUGAACGCACAUUGCGCCCCUUGGUAUUCCGAGGGGCACGCCUGUUCGAGCGUCAUUACACCCCUCAAGCUCGGCUUGGUAUUGGGCCCUCGUCCCCAUGGACGUGCCCGAAACUCCUCGGCGGCGGCGCCUUGCUUCAAGCGUAGUGAAAUCACAAUCUCGCUUUGGAAGUGGAGGCAUCGCCCGCCGGACGAACCCAAAUCUUUCCAAGUUUGACCUCGGAUCAGGCGGGGAUACCCGCUGAACUUAAGCAUAUCAAUAAGCGGAGGAAAAGAAACCAACAGGGAUUGCCCUAGUAACGGCGAGUGAAGCGGCAACAGCUCAAAUUUGAAAUCUGGCGCCUUCGGUGCCCGAGUUGUAAUUUGCAGAGGAUGCUUCGGCGUCGGCUCCGGUCUAAGUCCCUUGGAACAGGGCGUCACAGAGGGUGAGAAUCCCGUACGUGGCCGGCCGCCUCAGCCAUGUGAAGCUCCUUCGACGAGUCGAGUUGUUUGGGAAUGCAGCUCUAAACGGGAGGUAAAUUUCUUCUAAAGCUAAAUACCGGCCAGAGACCGAUAGCGCACAAGUAGAGUGAUCGAAAGAUGAAAAGCACUUUGAAAAGAGAGUUAAAAAGUACGUGAAAUUGUUGAAAGGGAAGCGCUUGCAGCCAGACUUGACCGCGGAUGCUCAACCGGCCCUUCGGCCGGUGCACUCUUCCGCGGUCAGGCCAGCGUCGGUUUGGGCGGCCGGAUAAAGGCCCCGGGAAUGUAGCUCCUCUCGGGGAGUGUUAUAGCCCGGGGCGUAAUACGGCCAGCCCGGACCGAGGACCGCGCU